GCAGUGGUGGUUCAGUGGUAGAAUGUCCGCCUUCCAUGCGGGAGAGCGGGGUUCGAUUCCCAGCCAAUGCA